GACGAACGCUGGCGGCGUGCUUAACACAUGCAAGUCACGGGGGGCCCGCAAGGGUCAACCGGCGAACGGGUGCGUAACACGUGAGCGACCUGCCCAAUUGCGGGGGAUAGCCGGCCCAACGGCCGGGUAAUACCGCAUACGCUUCCCUGGGGGCAUUCUUGGGGAAGGAAACCUACGGGGCGAUUGGAGGGGCUCGCGGCCUAUCAGCUAGUUGGCGAGGUAACGGCUCACCAAGGCGAUGACGGGUAGCUGGU
rnacentral:rRNA from 1 species